rnacentral:lncRNA from 1 species
CCACUGUGGAAGCUCGGACGGAGUCCAAUUUUUAUGGGAGGCCGAAAGGAGGCCGCUUAUUGUUGGAGCUCAGUCGAAGAUCGGUUGUCGUGGGAGCUCGGAGUAACAACCUGGCUGGUGGAUCCCGCCCCAUGGUAGAAGCUUGUCUGGGAUCCGGCUACGAAGAAGCUCGACUGAAGUCUACCUGUAACGGAAGUUUGGAAGAAAUUUGUUUACAGCAGAGGCUCAAAUAGAAUUUGCUUACAGUAGAUAUCCAGAGUAGACCGCUCACUGUAGGAGUUCGGAGUAGACUGCUCGUAGUAGA